UCGCCUACGGGGGGCAGCAGAGGGGGAUAUUGCACAAUGGGGGAAACCCUGAUGAAGCGACGCCGCGUGGGUGAAGAAGCGCCUCGGCGCGUAAAGCCCUGUCAGCAGGGAAGAAAAUGACGGUACCUGAAGAAGAAGCCCCGGCUAACUACGUGCCAGCAGCCGCGGUAAUACGUAGGGGGCAAGCGUUAUCCGGAUUUACUGGGUGUAAAGGGGGCGCAGACGGCGAUGCAAGCGAGGAGUGAAAGCCAGGGGCGCA
rnacentral:rRNA from 1 species